GGCCGAGGUGUCGCGGCUGAAAUCCCCACCGGUCUAGCCUGAGACCUCCGGCGAGACGCCGGCAGCAGGAGCCGCAGCAGCGUAGAGCCGUCCGGCCGCAGCCUACCACCGGCGAACUCGCUCCUGACGCCGCGGACCUUCUUCAGCCUGCAUAGCUUCCGACAAACCUAGUGAGGACUCGUGUGAUGAGCUCUGUGCUUCCGAGUCCCGAGCGUUGAACUGGAUCUGAAGCUCGGGGUGUCUCCUCAGGUCGGGUUCCCGGAGUUGAGAGCCCCGCCUUGCGGGAUGGGAAGGCUGGCCGUCACCGCCGCGGUGGCCGCAUGGGCUAUCCCGAUCGCCGCCUUGGUUGACUCCAUCGUGCCUGACCCCUACAUGGAUGAGAUAUUCCAUGUUCCCCAGGCGCAACACUAUUGCCGUGGAGAUUUCUUAACGUGGGAUCCCAUGAUCACCACCCCUCCUGGCCUGUACUACAUUUCUCUAGCAUAUCUUGCUUCCCUGUUUCCUGGUGCAUGGGCUAUUAAGGUAGCAGAGGCAUUUGACCCCCUUUGCACCACGGCACUUCUCCGGUCAACUAAUGUUAUAAUGGCAAUGGUCUGUGGUGUUCUUGUCCAUGACCUGCUUCUGUGUAUCAAGCCAGGAAUUGGCAAGAUGAAGGCAACUGCUUAUGCUAUUCUUGUAGCGUUGUAUCCUGUUCACUGGUUCUUUACCUUUCUGUAUUAUACUGAUGUCGCAUCAUUAGCUGCAGUUCUUGCGAUGUACCUGUCCUGCUUGAAGAAACGGUUUUGGGUCAGCGCACUGUUCGGUGCUCUCUCAAUACUUUUCCGGCAGACUAAUGUAAUAUGGAUGAUAUUUUUUGCUGCCAAUGGAGCCAUUGCAUAUGUGCAAGAUCUUUCUCUCAGUGACUGCCCUUCUGAUGAGAACAGUGAACCAACAGAUAAAUCAAGAGCAGAAGUGUCUGACAGGGAUAGCAAAGUCAGUGCUUUAGGUUUGAGAAGGCGGCGAACUAAUCACUCCAUAAGUAAGAGGGGAGUUGUUUCUGGAUCUACUAAAUCACACACGAGUUUUACGGAAGAACUAUUUGACAUCGGCUUCAAAAUAUGGAAUUCAAAGUGUAAAGUUUUAAUCACUUUUGCACCGUUCGCAAUAGUUCUGGUGACAUUUGGAGCAUUUAUAAUCUGGAAUGGUGGCAUAGUACUAGGUGCCAAGGAAGCUCAUGUUGUUUCACCACAUUUUGCACAGUUAUUGUACUUUGGUCUAGUGUCAGCUACUGCCCUCCUACCGUGGCAUUUUACUCCCGGACGAGUAUCAGACUUGUUCCACUGGUGUAGAAAGAACAAAACCUUUAGUUCUCUGGCAAUGCUGAUAGCUCUUGGUUUAAGCUUUGUGGCUAUACAUUUAUUCAGGUUUUUACCUGAACACCUCUAUUGCUCACCCUUAUCUUCUGGCUGACAAUAGACAUUACACGUUCUAUAUCUGGAGGAAGGUCAUACAAGCUCACUGGAUGAUGAAAUACAUUUUGAUUCCACUUUAUGUGUACUCAUGGUUUUCAGUUAUCAACAUCUUAGGGAAAUCGCAGCCAAGAGUUUGGGUGGUGUCCUUUGUUUUCUCAGUUGCUCUAGUUCUCGUCCCUGCUCCGUUGGUUGAAUUUAGAUACUACACAAUCCCAUUGGUCGUACUGGUCCUUAAUUCUCCAGUAAUCGGUAAUGGCAAAUUGCUUGCUUUGGGGUCUGCAUAUGCUGCUGUGGAUUUGUUCACUCUGGCGAUGUUUCUGUUCAGACCAUUCCAUUGGGGCCAUGAGCCGGGAACACAAAGGUUCAUGUGGUAGUUUAGUUGAUGAAAUUGACAAGUGACCAACUCCAGUGUUCAGUCACAGCUGCUCCGGCUUAUCGGUGCCCCGCUUGGAGAAAUUAGAACUACAAUGAUGUGUGAUCUUAAUUUUUUUGGGGGUCAGUUUGUGUGUAUACUAGUGUUCUUAUGAGUUUAAGUCGAAAAUAGGUGCUUGGAUUUGAA